rnacentral:rRNA from 1 species
UACGUAGGGGGCAAGCGUUGUCCGGAUUUAUUGGGCGUAAAGAGCGUGUAGGCGGCUUUACAGGUCCGUUGUGAAAACUCGAGGCUCAACCUCGAGACGCCGGUGGAAACCGUAAAGCUAGAGUCCGGAAGAGGAGAGUGGAAUUCCCAGUGUAGCGGUGAAAUGCGUAGAUAUUGGGAGGAACACCAGUGGCGAAGGCGGCUCGCUGGACCGGAACUGACGCUGAGGCGCGAAAGCGUGGGGAGCAAACAGG